CGGUGGAGCAUGUGGUUUAAUUCGAAGCAACGCGAAGAACCUUACCAGGCCUUGACAUGCAGAGAACUUUCCAGAGAUGGAUUGGUGCCUUCGGGAACUCUGACACAGGUGCUGCAUGGCUGUCGUCAGCUCGUGUCGUGAGAUGUUGGGUUAAGUCCCGUAACGAGCGCAACCCUUGUCCUUAGUUACCAGCACGUUAUGGUGGGCACUCUAAGGAGACUGCCGGUGACAAACCGGAGGAAGGUGGGAUGACGUCAAGUCAUCAUGGCCCUUACGGCCUGGGCUACACACGUGCUACAAUGGUCGGUACAAAGGGUUGCCAAGCCGCGAGGUGGAGCUAAUCCCAUAAAACCGAUCGUAGUCCGGAUCGCAGUCUGCAACUCGACUGCGUGAAGUCGGAAUCGCUAGUAAUCGUGAAUCAGAAUGUCACGGUGAAUACGUUCCCGGGCCUU
rnacentral:rRNA from 1 species